rnacentral:rRNA from 1 species
UUUGGCACUGAUCGUUGCCCUAAUGAUUUGUGGCAGUACUUUGCCUGGUGCUACUGUUACCUUCCUGACGGGGAAUUUUUUUACACCUUUGGCUUGGCCGCUUUGUGCUGGGCUAUGUGGAAUUGUCGAAACAAAAAAAUCUUUGAGCUCAAAGAGCUGAGAUCUCCUUUUGAUGUGGUGUACUCUGCUUGUGGUUACAUCUCUUAUUGGGCAGGUUUAUUGUCUAUUGAAGACCGGGAGGCUAUGGAGCGAGGGGCAAAGAUGCUAAGGAUGAAUGCUUCGAACAUGAUGAGAAUCUAUGCUGCGCCUGGAGAUGCGACGCGUAGCGGUCGUUGA